AAAGCCUUUAAAUUGGUCCGGAGAGGCCUGUAAGGUGCUGUAAAAUAUGGAUACGUAUUUAGCGUACUUAUUUUGCUAUGGAACGAAAGACCUUCUGCCUCUGUGAGAAGGUCUUUUUAUU
rfam:Geosporobacter ferrireducens strain IRF9, complete genome.